rnacentral:rRNA from 1 species
UACAGAGGGUGCAAGCGUUAAUCGGAAUUACUGGGCGUAAAGCGUGCGUAGACGGUUAUGUAAGUCGGGUGUGAAAGCCCCGGGCUCAACCUGGGAAUGCCAUUCGAGACUGCAUAGCUAGGGUGCGGAAGAGGGAAGCGGAAUUUCCGGUGUAGCGGUGAAAUGCGUAGAGUAUCGGAAGGAACACCAGUGGCGAAAGCGGCUUCCUGGUCCAGCACCGACGUCAGGCACGAAAGCGUGGGGAGCAAACAGG